rnacentral:rRNA from 1 species
UACGUAGGGUGCAAGCGUUGUCCGGAAUUAUUGGGCGUAAAGAGCUCGUAGGCGGUCUGUCGCGUCGGCUGUGAAAACCGGGGCUCAACCCCGGGCUGCAGUCGAUACGGGCAGACUAGAGUGCUGUAGGGGAGACUGGAAUUCCUGGUGUAGCGGUGAAAUGCGCAGAUAUCAGGAGGAACACCGGUGGCGAAGGCGGGUCUCUGGGCAGUAACUGACGCUGAGGAGCGAAAGCGUGGGGAGCAAACAGG